AACGCACCUUGCGCCCUCUGGUAUUCCGGAGGGCAUGCCUGUUUGAGUGUCAUUAAAUUCUCAACUUCAAUAGUUUUUAUAACUUGUUGAAGCUUGGAUGUGGAGGUUUUGCUGGCGUCUUAGAUGUUCGGCUCCUCUUAAAUGCAUUAGUGGACCCGUUUGUUGGACCAUCCUUGGUGUGAUAAUUAUCUACGCUUUGGUUAGUUCAAUAAACUCUAUGAGCUUUAAUCAGACGUGUUCUGGGUUGGGUUUUGCAUUAGUUUGCUUUACCUGUUUGUUCAGACGCCUUUUGGUGUCUAUCUCUUGGCUCAUUAGAGUAGGGAAUAUCUGCUCUCUAACCGUCUGUGUAUACGGACAAUACUUUGACUAUUUGACCUCAAAUCAGGUAGGACUACCCGCUGAACUUAA
rnacentral:misc_RNA from 1 species